CUACAUGCUGCUCCGGAAGGGGAUUUUGUCCCCCGCCGCCGGAGUUGUCGGGGAAGAAGCGAGCGGCUAAAAUACGGGAGGAUCCGGUAAACCGGCGCGGAUCCGGUGUGUUUAUCAAAGCGUGGUGGCCGUGCUGAGGCACCGGGGGGAAUUUAGGCUAAACGGUAAGUCAAAAUAAAACGUCCAUACUUACAGAUGCCACGUUUGUAGUAGGAUCACGGAUAGUUGGUACGGAUCCAUUCUUUAUCUUCAGACAUCUAGCAAAUCCAGCGUUGAACUGUCCCUCGUUGAUAAAACAGUCCGAAGUGAAAUGGUGCGCACAUACGUACAGAUAUUUUGGAAGUGCCGCGGGUACAUUCCCAUUAUAAACAAACUCCA
rnacentral:lncRNA from 1 species